AGUGAAGAGGUGCCAGAAUCCGCGAAGAGGGUCGACGAAUGCGCUGCCGCGGAGGCAACAAUGGCCAUGAGGGAUUCAAGGAUUAUGCGGUAAGGUUUAAGACCUGUGACACAGACUGAAGCUCUCCUGGCAUACUCUGAAGCUCUCCUGGCACCCUCCCCUUUAUGCUUCACAGGUGUUUCUCCUAAUAAAUUUCUUGUAUGUCUCAUCCCAUCUGGG
rnacentral:lncRNA from 1 species